UACGUAGGUGACAAGCGUUGUCCGGAUUUACUGGGCGUAAAGAGCGCGCAGGCGGUCGAUCAAGUCGAGUGUGAAAGCCCCCGGCUCAACUGGGGAGGGUCAUUCGAUACUGAUCGACUCGAAGGCAGGAGAGGGUAGUGGAAUUCCCGGUGUAGUGGUGAAAUGCGUAGAUAUCGGGAGGAACACCAGUGGCGAAGGCGACUACCUGGCCUGUUCUUGACGCUGAGGCGCGAAAGCUAGGGAAGCAAACGGG
rnacentral:rRNA from 1 species